rnacentral:lncRNA from 1 species
AUCCGAGGUGGGGUUUUUUUUCAUUGUUUCCCCAACAAGAAAUAUGUCUUCUGUCAAAUGACACAAAUAGGAAAUGAUCUCAUGUGGUCUUUAUUUCUCUCCUUUAUGAAAAAGAAGUCAUUUUCUGAAAUCACCUUUUUAGUCAGUCUGAGGGAUCCUGACUGGUCUGUGGUAGCACACACAGCUGGUGUGGACCAUCAGCACAUGGGCUGCAAGGAAAAUCGCCCCGAUGUCCAGACAGUGGGGCCAGGUGGUUUCUGGGUUUUGGCCUAGCCCCUGCUCUUGGUCUGACUGAGCAAUACUUCCCCAGAUGUCCCUUGCCCUUCAGCCCACUGGCCCUGACCUUUGUUAGAAGUGGAUGCCCAGCAGCUUUCUGGUUGUCUGUGAAUGCCCGGUGAAGAUUCUGAACUGAUUCCUCACCAGACAGUUGCUCUGUUUGCACCACAAGGGGCUUUCCCACGUGUGAGCAGGCCUCCCACCAGCUUCAUUCCUCCAAACUCCCAAACCAGCAGCACUGUCUCCUAAGAUACAACAGGACAGGCUUUGAGGACAGAAACCCAGGGUCACGUUCCUGCUCCAUCACUUUCCAUCAGCAUGGUCUCGGGCAAGGGAAUCGUGGUCUCAAGAUGGCCAGGUUUUGGACUUACACCAUAGGCUCUACUGGUCCUUAGGCCUUUGGACUGAGGCUGGAACCACAUCCUCAGCUCUCCUGGAUCUCCAGCUUGGCAACUGCAGACCUUGGGACAUUUCAGAUUCCAUAAUCAUGACGAAGGCGAUGGCAGCAGUUUUCCAGGCUAGCUGUCUUCACAACCCGAUGGCUCUCUUCUUUUCUGCUGCCACAGAGACUGACUGUCUGCCUCCUGCAAAUUUGAAAUUUGGCAAACCUGCCUCCUCUGCUUCUCAGAACCAAACUGGGGCCAGGAGAACUUCUGACCCAAGUGUUGAUCACCUCUCUUCCUGCACCUCACUGUGCACCCUCUGCUCAGGAAAUGCCUUUGGCGUGUUGCUGACGUCUGUCCCUGCUCCAUCUCUUACCACCCUGCACUUCACCCUUUCCCACACAGGUUUCACCUGAUCUCAGCUGCUUUGGGCAGACCAUCCAGGUAUUUUGGAGUCUGAAAAGGAUCUCUGUCUCUAAGUCUGGUGCAAAUGGAGUUUGGGGGUUUUAAAAUUCAUUCUUCUUGCUGCUGUUUCACAAUUUCUCAGAAAAGGUGAAAAUGCAGACUUUGGCAGUUAUGUUCAAUAUGAAAAGUCUUAAUAAAGUAAUUUUUGACCUAAAGCCCACCAGUAUUUCUGGAACAAUUCAGUCAAUCUUUGAACUUGGUCACAUAAAGUCUUAUUAGAAACACAACGGGGAUUUUGGAGACAGGACUAGUGAACUUUGUGUAGUUAAAUAGAAACUUGAAUUGCCAGUGUAGAGUACU